CCUACGGGAGGCAGCAGUGAGGAAUAUUGGUCAAUGGACGAGAGUCUGAACCAGCCAAGUAGCGUGAAGGAUGACUGCCCUAUGGGUUGUAAACUUCUUUUAUAUGGGAAUAAAAUGUUCCACGUGUGGGAUUUUGUAUGUACCAUAUGAAUACGGAUCGGCUAACUCCGUGCCAGCAGCCGCGGUAAUACGGAGGAUCCGAGCGUUAUCCGGAUUUAUUGGGUUUAACGGGAGCGUAGGUGGAUUGUUAAGUCAGUUGUGAAAGUUUGCGGCUCAACCGUAAAAUUGCAGUUGAAACUGGCAGUCUUGAGUACAGUAGAGGUGGGCGGAAUUCGUGGUGUAGCGGUGAAAUGCUUAGAUAUCACGAAGAACUCCGAUUGCGAAGGCAGUUCACUGGACUGCAACUGACACUGAGGCUCGAAAGUGUGGGUAUCAAACAGGAUUAGAUACCCCUGUAGUC
rnacentral:rRNA from 1 species